rnacentral:tRNA from 1 species
GCCGACGAGCUUGCUACCUCAUUGGUAAUGAGGAGGUCGAGAGUUCAAUCCUCUCUCGCAGCACCA